GACCUGGUGGUGAAUGGUUCACACCCACAACUCUUACUCCGUACAGCAAAACUACUGUGGGAGUUCUCGGUUCGAUUCCGGGUCAGGUCA